rnacentral:rRNA from 1 species
AUAACUACUGGAAACGGUAGCUAAUACCGCAUAAUCUCUAAGGAGCAAAGGGCGGGACUAUAAUGNCCUCACACCUUCGGAUGAACCCAUAUGAGAUUAGCUAGUAGGUGGAGUAACGGUUCACCUAGGCAACGAUCUCUAGCUGGUCUGAGAGGACGAUCAGCCACACUGGGACUGAGACACGGCCCAGACUCCUACGGGAGGCAGCAGUGGGGAAUAUUGCACAAUGGGCGCAAGCCUGAUGCAGCCAUGCCGCGUGUAUGAAGAAGGCCUUCGGGUUGUAAAGUACUUUCAGUCGUGAAGAAGGUGUUAGGGUUAAUAACCUUAGCAAUUGACGUUAGCGACAUAAGAAGCACCGGCUAACUCCGUGCCAGCAGCCGCGGUAAUACGGAGGGUGCGAGCGUUAAUCGGAAUUACUGGGCGUAAGGGCACGCAGGCGGUUAGUUAAGUUGGAUGUGAAAUCCCUGGGCUUAACCUAGGAAUGGCAUUCAAAACUGGUUAGCUAGAGUCUUGUAGAGGAGGGUAGAAUUCCAUGUGUAGCGGUGAAAUGCGUAGAGAUGUGGAGGAAUACCGGGCGAAGGCGGCUCUCUGGACAAAGACUGACGCUCAUGUGCGAAAGCGUGGGGAGCAAACAGGAUUAGAUACCUUGGUAGUCCACGCUGUAAACGAUGUCGAUUUGGAGGUUGUGGUCAUGAAUUGUAGCCUUCGGAGCUAACGCGUUAAAUUGACCGCCUGGGGAGUACGGCCGCAAGGUUAAAACUCAAAUGAAUUGACGGGGGCCCGCACAAGCGGUGGGGCAUGUGGUUUAAUUCGAUGCAACGCGAAGAACCUUACCUACUCUUGACAUCCAGCGU